AAGCUCAGUCACAGAGCAAUUUGGCGCCAAUUAACGAGCAAAUUGGUUGGAUUCGAGAAGGAUUUUGAUGGAUUCAGAUGUAGCUUAGAGAAUUGUCUCGGGUGAUUUCACGUCACCGGAAGAUCAGAAGGAAAGUAUAAAAUUAGCUUUCAUAUUGUUUGAAAGAGAUAAUUGGAGACGUCACCUUCAAUAAAGGGAACUUUUUUAGCUUGAAGAAGGUAACCUUUUUCUUCUCCAAAGAUUAGUAAAACUCCUACAACGUGGUACUAAAUCAAGUCGCUUUUGCAAUUUUGUUUUUACUAUUCAAUUUUCUUAUGGUACUUCUUUUAUUAUUGUGCCUGAUUUUAUUUUAUUCAAAUCUACUGUUUUGUACAUACUUUUCUGGGUCAGCCGUUUAAAACUUCGCAAUUCAGAGAGGAAAAUGGUGUAAAGUAGUUUACUCUACAUCAUUUAAUAACUAGCUGACACCCAUUCUGGGGGAUUUAUUUUUUCUCGCUCCAAUUACUGAAUUCAAGGAAAACCGAUGAAGGCAAUAUGCUGAAAUUAUCAUGUUUUAUCCAUAAUAAACUUCAUUUUUCCAGUGAAAUUUUGAUGGGAUGGCUCCAAAUCUAUCGUAGAUUUAUAUCUUAAUGAAUACCUUGGGUCGUUUGGAGAAUGAAAUUCUGUUGCUAGUUUAUGCAUUAUGAAUCCGACUAGAAGUUAUUAAAUGUCUUAAACUAAUAAAGUUUUAGUCCUUGCUCACGGCUAAACUCUUCUAUUUUACCUUGUUCAAUGAUCUGCAGGAAAUGGCAACUCCAGUGGAGCCUCCUAAUGGGAUCAGGUCCCCAGGGAAACAUUAUUAUUCCAUGUGGCAAACCUUGUUUGAGAUUGAUACAAAAU
rnacentral:lncRNA from 1 species